rnacentral:rRNA from 1 species
GAAUGCAGAGGUGCCCGAAAGGGAACCUAGACACAGGUGCUGCAUGGCUGUCGUCAGCUCGUGUCGUGAGAUGUUGGGUUAAGUCCCGCAACGAGCGCAACCCUUGUCCCUAGUUGCUACGCAAGGGCACUCUAGGGAGACUGCCGGUGACAAACCGGAGGAAGGUGGGGAUGACGUCAAGUCCUCAUGGCCCUUAUGGGUAGGGCUUCACACGUCAUACAAUGGCCGGUACAGAGGGUUGCCAAAGCGCGAGCUGGAGCCAAUCCCCAGAAAAGCCGGUCGUAGUCCGGAUUGCAGUCUGCAACUCGACUGCAUGAAGUCGGAAUCGCUAGUAAUCGCGGAUCAGCAUGUCGCGGUGAAUACGUUCCCGGGUCUUGUACACACCGCCCGUCACACCAUGGGAGUGGGUUCUACCAGAAGUAGGUAGGCUAACCGCAAGGAGGCCGCUUACCACGGUAGGAUUCAUGACUGGGGUGAAGUCGUAACAAGGUAACCGUAA